ensembl:lncRNA
CAAAAAUAAAAAAAUGUUUGGAGACAACAAGAGCACUGAUGAGAAAACUAGGUGUCAAUGUGUCACGAUGGAAAUUUGACGCUGUGGCUCAUCCACUCCAAGAGGACACCACAUCUUGCGGAGUGUUUGCUUUAAAAGUAGGCCGAGGCUAUGUGACAUGGCAAAAAUUACAUAUCGAUAUGCUAUCUAUCACGUAUUGGGGGACCUGUGAAUUAUGGGCUCAAACUCACACUUUCAGUUUGCUGAACACCUCCUGGAAGGGUCAGGCUCACUACAAUUCCCAACAUCACACAUAGAUGACCUGAGGAGGGAAAUAGCCACCACCAUCAUGACUGGAUCUGAUGACUUGAGUGACUUGUGUCAUUUCUGUGGGGAGGAAGACACCUUUGAUAAUACGGAAAACGUUACUUGGAUUGCGUGUGAUGCCUGUUUGAGGUGGUUUCACACAGGCUGUGUCGGAAAUCAAGCCAUGGAAAGCAAUUAUGCAUGCUAUGCAUGCCUACAUGCCUGCGUCCAUUAAAUAGGCUACUAGGGCUGGGCAAGUUGGCGCCCAAUUAUGCGUUAACGCAAUCUUGUUUUAGUUUUUUUGUACAAAUGGACGCACUAAGG